rnacentral:rRNA from 1 species
UACGAAGGGGGCUAGCGUUGUUCGGAAUUACUGGGCGUAAAGGGCGCGCAGGCGGUCGUUCAAGUCAGGCGUGAAAGCCCCGGGCUCAACCUGGGAAUAGCGCUUGAGACUGAGCGACUUGAGUUCGGGAGAGGAGAGCGGAAUUCCCAGUGUAGAGGUGAAAUUCGUAGAUAUCGUGAGGAACACCAGAGGCGAAGGCGGCUACCUGGACAAUUGCUGACGCUCAGGCACGAAAGCGUGGGGAGCAAAAGGG